AGAAACUUUCCCUUUGUCUGCUGUUCUCUCUGGGUGGUAGGGACUAGGAGCAGUAUUACUAUCAGUAGGAAUACUGUCGACAGUGACUGUGAAUGUGGGGGAAUGCAUUACCCAAGCCAAGAGGCAUUAAUUCUGAUGGGGUGAUUUAAUGAAGCAAAGUAUAUUAAUGAGCUCAAAGAGACAAGAAGGACAAGAAUGAGGAAUUGGAAGAAAGAAGCUCCAUCCACCCACCCACCUGCAGAAUGUUUUCCUGUUGUCCAACAUGGAGGUGAAUGGACUGAAGUUUCAAGAGGUGGUGACAUAGCUAACCUGAUCCUGAAUGCCCAGAUCCCCAGGGAUAUCAACAGGAGUCGGGGGUCAGGGGGAACAGCACUCGGCACUUCUCAGGAUUGGGCCUUCUAUCAAGAUAUGAAUCAACUUUCUCCCCUUUUUACCGCGUUAUUGUCAGAGUUGUCUUCUGUACCCAUGCUUCAGAAAGAGACCUCAUCAUACCUGGUGGUGAAGUUGUCAACAAAUGUCUCUUCAAUGGCUGUGCAAGAUUUCUGUUACAAUGAGCAAUUUCUGUCUCUGGGAAUGAUAGUUGAGAGGGGAAGGGAAAAUCCAGAUGAACUCUGAGCCAGCUCAAUGCCUGCUAAACAAAACUGUGUUUGAGUCUAGGGACUCAGACAAAGGAAGUUAAUUAUAAAAUCAUUUUAUGCCCGGAUUAUCAGCUUUGCUUGCCUAAAAACACAGCACACUUGCAUGGAAGUAAGUGGAAUGUAACUUUAGUACACUUGUGUUGUCAAUUACCUACCUAAUAGGCUUAUAAUUGAAAUUAUUAUCAUGUAGUUUUCAUAAUAAGCAAUAAAUGCUGUACAG